rnacentral:rRNA from 1 species
AGUGAACGCUGGCGGCAGGCCUAACACAUGCAAGUCGAACGGCAGCACAGCAGUAGCAAUACUGUGGGUGGCGAGUGGCGGACGGGAGAGGAAUGAGUCGGAAUCUGCCUAUUUGUGGGGGAUAACGUAGGGAAACUUACGCUAAUACCGCAUACGACCUACGGGUGAGAGUGGGGGACCGCAAGGCCUCACGCAGAUAGAUGAGCCGACGCCUGAUUAGCUAGUUGGCGAGGUAAAGGCCCACAAAGGCGACGAUACGUAGCUGGUCUGAGAGGAUGAUCAGCCACACUGGGACUGAGACACGGCCCAGACUCCUACGGGAGGCAGCAGUGGGGAAUAUUGGACAAUGGGCGCAAGCCUGAUCCAGCCAUGCCGCGUGUGUGAAGAAGGCCUUCGGGUUGUAAAGCACUUUUGUCCGGAAAGAAAUCCUUUCGAUUAAUACUCUGGAGGGAUGACGGUACCGGAAGAAUAAGCACCGGCUAGCUUCGUGCCAGCAGCCGCCGUAAAAC